GGAGCAGAAGUUCAGCAAGUGAACCGAGAUCUACCCAACUGCUUGUCUGUGUACUACUACUGUAUAUAAAAAUGUACUGCAUCUCUUGAUUGCAUCAAAGGCCAUUUCACCUGAUUGACCUAUACCAUCUAGAUCUGUGUGUAGCUAUGACUGACUGCAUUUUCAUUAGAGUGGAGGAUCAGAUGCCUCUUGUUUACAGCUUGUGUAAAAUU